UACGAACGCUGGCGGCGUGCCUAAUACAUGCAAGUUGAGCGCUGAAGGUUGGUACUUGUACCAACUGGAUGAGCAGCGAACGGGUGAGUAACGCGUGGGGAAUCUGCCUUUUAGCGGGGGACAACAUUUGGAAACGAAUGCUAAUACCGCAUAAAAACUUUAAACACAAGUUUUAAGUUUGAAAGAUGCAAUUGCAUCACUCAAAGAUGAUCCCGCGUUGUAUUAGCUAGUUGGUGAGGUAAAGGCUCACCAAGGCGAUGAUACAUAGCCGACCUGAGAGGGUGAUCGGCCACAUUGGGACUGAGACACGGCCCAAACGCCUACGGGAGGCAGCAGUAGGGAAUCUUCGGCAAUGGACGAAAGUCUGACCGAGCAACGCCGCGUGAGUGAAGAAGGGUGUCGGAUCGUAAAACUCUGUUGGUAGAGAAGAACGUUGGUGAGAGUGGAAAGCUCAUCAAGUGACGGUAACUACCCAGAAAGGGACGGCUAACUACGUG
rnacentral:rRNA from 1 species